rnacentral:rRNA from 1 species
AUUGAACGCUGGCGGAAUGCUUUACACAUGCAAGUCGAACGGCAGCACGGGGCAACCUGGUGGCGAGUGGCGAACGGGUGAGUAAUACAUCGGAACGUGCCCAGUCGUGGGGGAUAACGUAGCGAAAGUCACGCUAAUACCGCAUACGAUCUAAGGAUGAAAGCGGGGGAUCGCCAGACCUCGCGCGAUUGGAGCGGCCGAUGUCAGAUUAGGUAGUUGGUGGGGUAAAGGCCCACCAAGCCGACGAUCUGUAGCUGGUCUGAGAGGACGACCAGCCACACUGGGACUGAGACACGGCCCAGACUCCUACGGGAGGCAGCAGUGGGGAAUUUUGGACAAUGGGCGCAAGCCUGAUCCAGCCAUUCCGCGUGCAGGAUGAAGGCCUUCGGGUUGUAAACUGCUUUUGUACGGAGCGAAAAGGCUCUCUCUAAUACAGGGGGCUCAUGACGGUACCGUAAGAAUAAGCACCGGCUAACUACGUGCCAGCAGCCGCGGUAA